CAAUAGCCUAACGGCUGAACCAGCAACUUGGAGGAAUGUAUAAGUGACUAUGUCCUAUAAAAUUCUAGGUAAAAUAGUGAUGAUGACAUUAUUUACCUAUAUGUCUUGACCAAGUCACGUGCCAGCAGUCGCGGCAACACGUGGAAGACUAGUGUUAUUCAUCUUUAAUGGGUUUAUAGGGUACUUAGACGGUAAAUUAAGCCCCUAAAAAGGGUACUAAUAUACUAGAGUUUUAUGCGAGAGGGGGAGUAAUGUUGGAGUAGAGAUGAAAUAUUUUGAUACCAUCGGGUAACUGGCGACGGCGAAAGCAACCUUUUAUGUAAAAACUGACGUUGAAGGACGAAGGCAAGGUCUACCAACAGGAUUAGAUACCCCAGCAGUCUUAGCAGACAAUGAUGAAUGUCAUAGAUUAGAUAUUGUUUAAUCUAUAAAUGAAAGUGUAAGCAUUCCACCUCAAGAGUAAUUUGGCAACAUUGAAACUGAAAUCAUUAGACCGUUUCUGAAACCAGUAGUGAAGUAUGUUGUUCAAUUUGAUGGCCCGCAAAAAACCUUACCACAAUUUGAAUAUUUUUAUUUUUAUAAAAUUACAAGCGUUGCACGGCUGUCUUUAGUUAAUGUUCUGAGAUGUUGGUUAGCUCCAUCAAUUAACGUAUAACCCUUACUUUUUUUUUUUAAUAAAGUAGUUCGCCAUUAUAUUGGAAUAUGAUAAGAGGGAUUAAGACAAGUUGUCAUGGCCUUAAUAUUGUGGG
rnacentral:rRNA from 1 species